rnacentral:lncRNA from 10 species
CCACAGCCUCCCAAAGUGCUGGGAUUACAGGCGUGAGCCACCGCGCCCGGCAGUAUUAGAACUUUUAUUUGCAUUUUUGGUAGCUUUUUUUUCUCAUCCUUUAAGGUUCCACUUUGUCUCUCUCAGUACAGGAUGAUGUGUUAGUUACAAUAGUACAUGGACACACACAGCAAACAAGUAGAUAUACAGGGGGUGCGUGAGCAAACAGGUUUCAGGACCACUGCUCUCUGGAGUCUUAUUCCUCAGAGUAUGAGCCCUUGACCAAGGAGCAUGGAAUGCAUCACCUAUGUUUGAACAAGGGCGCCAGAUGACCUC